UAUCUCAGGUCUGUCUGUCUCUCACUAUCUCAGGUCUGUCUGUCUCUCACUAUCUCAGGUCUGUCUCUCUCUCACUAUCUCAGGUCUGUCUGUCUCUCACUAUCUCAGGUCUGUCUGUCUCUCACUAUCUCAGGUCUGUCUGUCUCUCACUAUCUCAGGUCUGUUUGUCUCUCACUAUCUCAGGUCUGUCUGUCUCUCACUAUCUCAGGUCUGUCUGUCUCUCACUAUCUCAGGUCUGUUUGUCUCUCACUAUCUCAGGUCUGUCUGUCUCUCACUAUCUCAGGUCUGUCUGUCUCUCACUAUCUCAGGUCUGUCUGUCUCUCACUAUCUCAGGUCUGUUUGUCUCUCACUAUCUCAGGUCUGUCUGUCUCUCACUAUCUCAGGUCUGUCUGUCUCUCACUAUCUCAGGUCUGUCUGUCUCUCACUAUCUCAGGUCUGUCUGUCUCUCACUAUCUCAGGUCUGUCUGUCUCUCACUAUCUCAGGUCUGUCUGUCUCUCACUAUCUCAGGUCUGUUUGUCUCUCACUAUCUCAGGUCUGUCUGUCUCUCACUAUCUCAGGUCUGUCUGUCUCUCACUAUCUCAGGUCUGUCUGUCUCUCACUAUCUCAGGUCUGUCUGUCUCU